GCCUUCCUUCCUAGCCCUGCAGCCCCGCCCACUCCACUCCACUCCACUCCCAGGCUCGGAACAGGCCUCGCCUCUAAGACGUGAUUGGCGGCAACACAAGGCACUGCCCCUACGCUAGUUGGGUUGCGCAUGCGCUGUGUUCACGUCCGAGGGGGAGGGCCCUUGAUAUAGCGAGCGCAUGCGCCUAGCUCUCUCUGGGCGGGUCCGGAGCCCUUCUGGCUUUAGUCUGCGGAGGCUCUGAUGGUUCCCAGCAAGAGCCGGGGAGUAGUAACAGCUCUUCCGCCCGCCUGAGCCGGUGUCUGGAACCCCGCGCUGUUCAGCGGCCGGCCGGCCGGCACCGCGGGGUUGCUCAUUUUCUUCACAGCCUCGAGGACGGGACAGGGCCGCGCGGGGGAGGGGAUCAGUCUCUCUCCCAGGGACACAGAUACAACAGCAGCCGCCUUAUAGUCCUAGUUGGGGGAGAGGGAGACAGAUCUAAUCAGAGGCAUUUCCAGCUACCUGCCUGUGAACUGGUCAAGUGUCAACACAGGGCAAAGUUAAAACUGAUUUUUUUUCAACACCGUAAAUUACUUCUCCAGCUAGCCACUUCUAGUGCAGGAAAGGACAGGCUCAACUAUGAUGAUUCAACCAUCGAGUUAUAGCACAAACUAGCUAAUUCCUCUUUAACAUAGUGUUAGACUGAGAUGUAAAAUGCACACACAAGUGAGAUUAUUUCAGCUUGUCAGGAAGAAGCCUAAAACUAUCGGAAGGGCUCCUGUAGUACCAAGGAGCAAUUGAGGACAUAGAGAGAACAAAGGAGCUAAAUCACUUCCUUGCAUCAGUUUUCAAAGGAUAAAGCAGGUGCAUGAGGAAGGCAGUGAAGUAUAAUGAAAUUCAGAACUGAGAGGAGGAAAGGAUAUUCACCUUCUUCCCACAUAUUUUCUUUUGGAAUGGAAGUUGAGAUGACAUUAAACUGAUUCUUCUAGAAACAUGCAUGAAAUGAAAACAGCAAUCUAGCUCUUCAUUUAUACGCACUUCAAAUAAGGAAACAUAUCCAGUGUUGCGACUAACAAGGCUGACUUCAACAUUGAAGUUUCAAGAUAAGCAAAUUUAGGCCCUGAUCAGCACUUGAGCAGACUCAUGUUCAUGCAGAGCCCCAGUGACUUAAAGGGACUUCACUUCGCUCAUUGCAAGAUCUGACCUGGAGGUGCUACCAGAUAUUUUGCUGAAGUACAGCAGCUGACGCUUUUUGCGGAAGUGUGAUUCCUAACUGUGACAUUUCUUGCUAUGAUACUGUGUUCUUACAUGAUAUCACAUCCCAUUAUAGAACCAGUCUGUGAUAACUGGUAAUUAGCAUGGCUAUGUUUUAUAGUUAGAGAUAGAACAACGAAAGCAUAGCCUGGGCUCUAGGAGCCCACAACAUAUUUAUAGAAAUAUAGUAACAUGAUACCAGCAGUUUCCCUAAAACAAAACAAUCAGGGAUACAUUUUCCUCUUCCUGUUUGUGAUAUGGCACAUUCGUACAGUUGGGGUAUUAUUGCAGUUAAAUAGAAUUUUAGCCUGCCUGGCUGCAGAGAAAAGCUUGAAAAUAUGAGCCCUAAAGUCUCAAAAAUUAAAAAGAUAAUAAGACUAGCUAGAGUUUAUUUUUAAAAAUCUUAUAAUUUUUAAGCUAAUUUCAUGAGGUUUUAGGGCCUGCAUCAAUCUUUGAAUACUUAUGGUUGGCAAUUUUGAGUAUACUGUUUAAAAAUGGUUCAUUUAUAUUUUGCAGAGCCAAAGAGCAGUAGCUCUAAAGGGAUGUUGGGAAAAAUUACCUGUAAGAGAGCAAUCCUGAAUUGUGAGUUAGUAGGAUCAGAAAGCCAUUUAAGAAGGUGCACAGGCUUUUUCGGAGUGGUGCAGGAAAGAAAGUUAGCUCUCCUAACUUCCAAUACUAUGCUUUAACCACAAGACCAUCUUUCACGUUAAACCACUGAAAGAAACACAAAUAGCCCUACCAUCUGGAAUUAAAUCCUAAUUUGAAAUGAAAACAAUUUUUAUUAACCCAGGACUAGUUUGUUUUGAGUGCAACAUAAUGGAAUAUAAGGAGCACCACUUGUGUGUUUUCAAUAGGGUAUUUCAUGCAGAAGUUGAUCUAAUUGUAAGUGCAAAAAUUAAAACAGUACCCACCAUAUUUUAAAAAUGUAACAUACUGUUUAGCACUUCUGUUACUUAGAAGCUUUUAUCUUAACAGCUUAAUCCCUAAUUAUGGAUAAAUCAUUUUGUCAGUUUUAAAGACUAGUUCAUACUAAGGCUGCAAUGGGAUUAAGUUCCUUUCCCCUUUUUUAGGCUUUAUCCCGGGCCCCAGGAAGAGGGGCAGGUUGUGAACCCUGAUACAUCCACCCAGUCCUACUUCUUGUUCAGCCAAUCGCUAAGAGAAAAAAGUUUGUUUACAUUUAUGGGAGAUAAUGCUGCCCGCUUCUUAUUUACAAUGUCACCUGAAAGUAAGAAAAGGCAUUCGCAUGGCGCUUUUGUAGUUGGCACUGCAAGGUAUUUACGUGCCAGGUAUGCUAAACAUUCAUAUGCCUCUUCUUGCUUCGACCACCAUUCCAGAGGACAUGCUUCCAUGCUGAUCGUGCUUGUUUAAAAAAAUGCAUUAAUUAAAUUUCUGACUGAACUCCUUGGAAGAGAAUUGUAUAUCUCCUCAUAUAUUUUGUGUUAUGGUAGUCUAGGAUGAUGACAUGUUAUUUGAUUUAAGAACCUUUCACUACAGAUUUGACAAAACACAAAGAAGGUUCCAAUCUCAGAUUUCUAAAGAUAACUACAGCACUCAACCCAAGGUUUAAGAAUCUGAAGUGCCUUCCAAAAUCUGAGAGG